rnacentral:lncRNA from 1 species
CCAGCAGCCAGCCACCCCAGGAAGGCCCCAGCGGGGAUGUAGAAUAGCCUGCACUUCUGAAGUCCUCUCCCUGGUGUGCGGACCCCCGGCUGACAGGAAGUCUGCAGGCUCUUACUCUGCAGUUCCGGCUGACCUUAAACUCACUAUGUAGGCCAGGUUGGCCCGAGGCCCUGACUUGGCCACCCAGGUGAUCCUCCUGGCUCAGCUUCCCAAGUGUUAGGGGUACAGGUAUGUGGCACCACAUCCUGCUCUCAAUUUGAUUUUUCAGACAGGGUCUCUGAGUUCUGCAGGCUGACCUAAAAUUUGUGAUCCUCCUGCCUCAAACUCUCCAGUAGCUCAGAUUACAGGUAUGGCCACCACACCCUGCUAAAUUAUUUUUUCCAACUGAAAUUUGGAUCGAGGUCAUUGGGCAUUCACGUGCAGUCGUAAGGAGCAAGACAGAGAGAUCACAGGGACCCUUUCCUAUACAACGUCACAGCCAGGGCAUCAACACUGGCACGGUCCACCUGUCGGGUGCGGAUCUUUCAUCUCACACUCCUGCGUGGCCUGGACAGUUUACCCUGUUGAUGGUGGGGGGGGAGGGUUUGGAAAGGUGUGAGGCAGUUGGCAACGAGCCCAGCAGCCAGGACCAAUCAUCAUCCGGUCCAGGGGAAAACAGCAGCAAGCGGUUCUAUGACAGCCUCGCACCUCCCACUGGCCUGCCACGGAGAAGGAUUAGGGUGGAUGCGAACAGUGUUAUUACUGCCACCUUCCUAUGCCCUGGAGGUGGGGUGAACUCAGGGUGCAGCGGCUUGAGACAUGAUUCACAGCCUGACUCAUUCAGCCAAGGGCCACCUGAGGGGACGGCUUUUCCCUGGGAGGCGGGCUCAGCCCUCCCAGGUGCUGUGUCCCCUUUAAGAAGGGGACAAAAGGCUCUCUUCACACAUCAAAGAAAAUUUGGGCCACAGUUAGGCUUCUCUGCUUUCAGGAUAUGAUACAAUUUUUUUUUUUCUUUUUUUUCUGGUACUGGGGAUCGAACUCAGGACCUUGCACUUGCAAGGCAGGCAAGGUGCCACUGAGCUAAAUCCCCAGCCCUUCUUUUGGUUUUUUGAGCCAGGGUCUCACUGGGUAGCCCAGGCUGGCCUUGAACUUGGAGCAUUUCUCCUACCUCAGCCUCCUGAAUGCUGGGCAUGUGCCAUGGUGUCUGGGAGAACAUAAUACAAUUCUUAUCAAGUCUAAUACAGUACUUUCUUUUAAAUACAUUAUUUCUAAUAGUUUUCAAUUUACAGAAAAGAUGGCACAGAGAGGUACCACAAACCUACUUUCCCCCAUUAUUAACAUCUUACGUUACUGGAGAUAUUUGCCAUACUGAAUGAAUACUGAUAUAUUAUUAUUAAACUAUGGCCCAGAAAAAAAA